AAUCCAUGAUGUGGGCACCACCUAAGAAGGUCCUUGAAUCUUUCUUGUGCCUCGAAAAAUGUUUCAGACUCUCCUUGCUUAAAUGCCGAGAUCUCUUUGUCUGAUUUU